AUGCCUCCAAGUUCUGGUAGCAGUAUAAGAUGUUUGCUUACAUUAAGCAAUACUUAUAAUAUACACAAUAUUGGCCCGCUCAUGACGCUCCGCCUCGGCGCCCUCACCACCGUCAUCGCCUCCUCGGCGGACACCGCCCGCGACGUCCUCCAGCGCCACGACGCCGCCUUCUCCGCGCGCUCCGUGUCCGACGCCGCCCGCGCGUGGGCCUACGACAGCCUCUCCAUGGGCUGGCUCCCGCCGAGCAGCCCCCACUGGCGCGCUCUCCGCAAGCUGUGCUCGGGGGAGCUCUUCGCGCCGCACCGCCUCGACGCGCACCAGUCCAUCCGCCGCGAGAAGGUGCAGCAGCUCGUGAGCCACGUCGCUCGGCUUCGCGAGAGGGCGCCGCCGUGGACGUCAGCCGCGUCGUGUUCACCACCGCGCUCAACCUGCUCUCCUGCACCAUAUUCUCAGCCGACAUCGCCGACCUCGACGACAGACAAGGGACGGGGCAGUUCAGGGCCGUGA
rnacentral:rRNA from 1 species